rnacentral:misc_RNA from 1 species
UCUCUCAAUUCACGCGGGCUGCGCUUACUCGACCCACUUCACUCGUGCUCGAACAUUGGCAGGGUCUUCUCUGCCUCUCCGCGGUUUUUGCUCUCUCCGCUGCUUCAGCGCUUUCCACCCACGCUGUAGUUCUUCGUAUACUUUUUCGUUUACUUUGUUCUGUUUUUGGGCCCUCUCCUCGCCCCCCCCCUGGCUGCACCCCCACUGACAGAAAGACAGGCAUAAACACACACACACACACACACACACACACACACACACACGGGCACACCACAAAGAAACGCUUGAAGCACGUUGACGAGGGGGCGGAAUCGGCAACAAACUCGAAAACACACAAGCAAGACAAACAAGCGACCAACGUCUUGGCGUCAACGCCGCUCGUGUGUCGCUGUAGUGACGGGCUCAUCGACUGCGAAUACUAGCCCACAGCACAAGAAAAAGACAAAGGAAAAGGAUGACGCAGUACUUCGAGGUCAAGAACCCGGCCACGGGUGCGGUAGUGGGCAAGUACAUGCAGCAGCAGGCAUCCGAUAUUGCAAAGGCUGUCGCGAACGCACGGGUGGCGCAGAAAGCGUGGGCUCAGCUCACGUACGACCAGCGAGCAGUGCACCUGAAAAGGAUGAAAGCCUUCCUCGCCGCCAACGCCGAGCGCGCGACCGACGUGAUCGUGUCUUGCAGCGGUAAGACUCGCCAGGAUGCGCUCGCGACGGAGGUGCUCUCAGGAGUUCUGGCGUGCGACUGGUAUGCCAAGAACACCAAGAGGGUGCUGGCACCGCAAAAGCUGCCGGUCGGCUCCAUUUUAUUCUCUAACAAGUCGAACACAAUCCACUACGAGCCGGUGGGCGUUGUCGGCAUCAUCUCUCCGUGGAACUACCCCUUCUCCAUCCCGUUCGGUGAGGUACUGAUGGGGCUGAUGGCCGGCAAUGCGGUACUGCUGAAGGUGGCUACGAACUCCACUCCUGUCGGCUGCUUCAUUGAAGAAGUGGUGCAGGCGGCGGAGUUGCCGGUGGGACUGUUUCAGCAUCUCAUCGUCAGCGGCGCCGAGGCCGGCCGGGCGCUGCUGGAGGCUGGUAUCAACAAGCUCUUCUUUACUGGCAGCGUCGGCGUUGGCAAGAAGCUCAUGGCCGAGGCAGCCAAGACGCUGACCCCGGUGUCCCUGGAGCUCGGCGGCAACGACCCGAUGUUGGUACUCAAGGACGCCUCGAUUGAGCGUGCCGUAAACUGUGCUUGCUGGGGUGGCUAUCAGAACGCCGGCCAGAGCUGCGGCGGCGUGGAGCGCAUCUACGUGGAUGAGUCCAUCUACCCCGAGUUCCUUGCCCAGCUGAAGGCAAAGACAGAGGCGCUGCGCCAUGGCCCGGACACCGGCGCCUUUGAUGUGGACAUAGGUUGCCUCACAACCAAGGGUCAGUACGAAACGAUUGCUGCGCAGGUGAAAGAGGCUCUGGCGCAGGGUGCCACGAUUGAGGCGCAGAGCCGCCCUAGCGCGAACUGCCCCAAGGACGGUCUCUUCUACCCAGCCACGGUCCUCAGCGGCUGCACGCCAUCGAUGAGAAUCAUGAAGGAAGAGACCUUCGGCCCGAUCCUCCCCGUGGUACCCUUCAAGACGGAGGAGGAGGGCAUCCAGAUGGCGAACGACUGCACCAUGGCCCUCACGAGCAGUGUGCACUCUCGCAAUAUGAAACAUGCCAAGGAGGUGGCGAUGCGGCUGGAGAGCGGCGUAGUCACCAUCAACGAUCACCUCUACUCUCACGGAAUGUCGGAAGCGCCGUGGGGUGGGUGGAAGGAGAGCGGAAUCGGCCGUACGCACGGCUACCUGGGGUUGAAGGAGAUGGUGAAUGCAAAGUGCAUCAACUCGGAUCUGAUGCCCUCCGGCUUGCUGCCCCGCAAUCUCUGGUGGUACCCGUUCACUCGCGAAACAGACGCGAUGCUCCGCAACGUGCUGUCCUUUGUUGCCCCCACGAGCAUCUGCAAGAUGCUGUCGAGCCUGUGGUACAUCAUCACGCACUGCAGGUAUAUGUUCCAUCCAUGGGAGAUAAAGAGCACGCCGAAAUGAACAGCCCCGCAGCACGCACGCACACUCUACCAUGAAAGGCGUGACGGAUCAGGAAAGAACGUAAACAGACACACACCGAGACCGCUCGGCAGGACGGUUGUUAUGAGUCAUCGGCAGCGACCCGAACACCGCACACGUGCAGGUUUGGGGUGGACUGCCUUCCUUUUUUUUUUCUUGCUCUUCGAUUUCAUUCUCUUUCCCUGAUGAACCAGGCCACAUAAGCGCGCGGUAUCCGGACCCACUGCCUACGCUUUCUGGGGAAGCCAAAAAAGCCUGCCGCCUGCCCUCAGGUGUGCCUGGCGGUCUCUUAGUGUACGCUGGCGGGGCUUGGCGGACGCUGUGCGGAGGAGGCUUGCUGUCAUGAGCACGGCUGUGCCAGCUUGCCAGGAAUCAUGUCGAGGAUUCAGUGCGUAUUGGAGAACAAGAGGCACACCGAUCAACUCCAAAACGCAUUUGUUCGAGGCGUACGGAGCCUCUGGGAUUCCGACGCGGUGGGCUGAUAUGAGGGCACGGGUGCCGGAAGCAUGGCGUACGGCCGGGUUGCAGAGGCUCUGAAGGGCUCUCACCGGAGGCUGGCCGACUUGUUCCUCGAGCUCAUUCGGCACGCGCCUGGCCCACCACCACCACCACCACCUCUGCUACCCCGCAGGGCGGCUCGUUCUCGGCGACCAGGAGAUGUCGCCGCCGUGCGGCCAGAGGGUUGGGGCGCUGUGGUUGCGGAGGCGUGUAUACACUGUUGCGGACGUGCUCGUGGUCGGAUGGACAGGCUAGCAGCCAAAAAAAAAAUUAUUGCUCAUGCUGAAAAGUGUGCUGCUUGCUUUGCUUUCAUGCGGUGCGCAAGCCGCGAUAUGCAUAUCGAUGGCUCUCUCGUUGACAAUGGGUGCUGCUGUCGCUCUACAUCUCUCACCGAAGCGAAGGCGACACGGGAAAGAAGACAGUGCGUGGGCUUGACUGCCGUUUUCUCAGCGAAUCACAAAAGAGGCUCUGUUGAGGUAUUCCUCUGGAUGCAGCGGCAACAGG